rnacentral:rRNA from 1 species
UACGAAGGGUGCUAGCGUUGUUCGGAAUUACUGGGCGUAAAGCGCGCGUAGGCGGCUUUGCAAGUCGGGUGUGAAAUCCCCAGGCUUAACCUGGGAACUGCAUUCGAGACUGCAUUGCUAGAGUAUGGGAGAGGGAAGUGGAAUUUCCGGUGUAGCGGUGAAAUGCGUAGAUAUCGGAAGGAACAUCAGUGGCGAAAGCGACUUCCUGGACCAAUACUGACGCUCAUGUGCGAAAGCGUGGGGAGCAAACAGG